rnacentral:rRNA from 1 species
UACAGAGGUCCCGAGCGUUGUUCGGAUUCACUGGGCGUAAAGGGUGCGUAGGUGGCGAGGUAAGUCGGAUGUGAAAUCUCGGAGCUCAACUCCGAAACUGCAUUGGAAACUACCUUGCUCGAGGGUUGGAGGGGGGACUGGAAUUCCUGGUGUAGCAGUGAAAUGCGUAGAUAUCAGGAGGAAUACCGAUGGCGAAGGCAG